CAACCAAUUGCCGAGGGAGGUAAUUAUGGGCAACAAGGCAAGGUAUAGCAUUUAUUAUGCGUAAAUAUUAUUUGAAUUCUCUACUUAUCAAGAUUAUUGGGAAUUAAUAGUUCUUUCGUUUUCAGCCAUCUGGAUUGAGCAGCAGGCCUAAAUGGAAAUGAGGAAAGAAGAAGUUACAGGGCCGUAUCAUCAUCACGGAAAUUGAUGAAGAUGGUGAACCAAUGGCUCCAAACAAUGCUAAGACCAAAUUGGUGAAUCAAAUUGGGUUUCUUGUUAAAGAUAACAUCCCAAUAAGCUUUUAGAAUCGGAAAAGCCCUGAAAUCGAUGAGAG
rnacentral:lncRNA from 1 species